AUGGCCACGGCGGCGCACAAGCCCCUGGCCGCGAUCACCGCCGACGACCUCGCUGCGGCGGGGGCGGCGGAGCCCGCCGCGCUCCACUCGGCGGUCCGCAGCGCGCUCGGCGCCGCCAGCGGCCGCGGGCCCGCCGCGGUGUGGGGGGAGCUCUCCCGGGGCGUGCUUCGCCCGGGACUGCCCUUCGCCGUCCACCGGAUGCUCUACUACGGCUGCUACGCCGGGUCCCCGUCCACCACGCCGCCCGCCUGGACGCCCGACCCCGACGAGGCCGCCCUGACCAAUGUUGGCCGCGUCCUGGAGGCGCGCGGGAGUGAGAUCAUCGGCCAAGCGUACAAGGACCCAAUCACCAGCUUCCGGGACUUCCACAAGUUCUCCAACGAGAAUCCAGAGGCAUAUUGGAAGAUGGUCUUCGAGGAGAUGGGCAUCACAUUCAGCGUGGCCCCAUCCUGCAUCUUGCGUGACAGUGAUGCGUACCCCGGUGGCGAAUGGUUGCCAGGGGCUGUGCUGAAUGCUGCUGCGAAUUGCCUGACUGCUAAACCUGGAAGAACUCCCAGCAACGUUGCCAUUGUGUGGAGGGAUGAGGGGAAGGAUUCCGAGCCCCUCAACUUUGUGACUGUGGAGGAGUUGAGGAAAAAAAGUAGCCUCGUGGCAAAUGCGCUCGAUGCACUUAAUCUGGCAAAGGGAUCUGCUAUUGCAAUUGACAUGCCUAUGAAUGUGAAUGCUGUUACUAUCUACCUCGCGAUCGUGUUAGCAGGGUACAUUGUUGUCUCGAUUGCAGACAGCUUUGCUGCACCUGCAAUAUCAAUGAGGCUAAAGAUUUCAGAGGCAAAAGCAAUUUUCACCCAGGAUUGCAUCCUUCGUGAUGACAAGGAACUUCCAUUGUAUAGUAGAGUUGUGGAGGCCAAAGCCCCUAUGGCUAUCGUGAUCCCUGCAAGGGGAUCAUCAACAUCUAUAAAAGGAUUCCGUGCUGAUGACCUUUCCUGGGAAGAUUUUCUUGGAAGGGCUGAUCAUACUAAGGCUGAUAUUUAUACCACAGUAGAGCAACCUGCCUACCAGUUCAGUAAUAUCCUAUUUUCAUCGGGGACCACAGGAGAGCCAAAGGCGAUUCCGUGGACACAUUUGACCCCUCUUAAGGCAGCUGCUGAUGGAUGGUGUCACAUGGAUAUUCGUAAAGGUGAUGUUGUUGCGUGGCCUACAAACCUUGGUUGGAUGAUGGGUCCCUGGCUUGUCUAUGCCUCACUAUUGAAUGGAGCAUCCAUGGCGCUGUAUAAUGGCUCCCCGAAUAGUUCAGGUUUUGCAAAGUUUGUACAGGAUGCUAAGGUGACAAUGCUUGGAGUGGUACCCAGCAUUGUUCGCACAUGGAAAAGUACAGAUUGUACUGCAGGAUUUGAUUGGUCAACCAUCAGAUGCUUUAGCUCAACUGGGGAGGCAUCAAGUGUGGAUGAUUAUUUGUGGCUGAUGGGAAGAGCUUGCUACAAGCCAGUAAUCGAGUACUGUGGUGGCACAGAAAUUGGUGGUGGAUUUAUUACUGGAUCCCUGUUGCAACCUCAAGCAUUGUCAGCAUUCAGUACACCUGCCAUGGGUUGCAACCUGUUUAUUCUUGACAGCAAUGGGAAUCCCCUACCACAGGAUUCUGCUGGUAUUGGAGAACUUGCGCUUGAUCCAACAUUAUUUGGGUCAUCAACGACACUGCUAAAUGCUGAUCAUCAUGAGGUGUACUUCAGUGGAAUGCCAGAAUGGAAUGCGAAAGUCCUCCGGAGGCAUGGCGAUGAAUUUGAACGUACCACAGAAGGAUAUUAUAGGGCUCAUGGGCGUGCAGAUGAUACAAUGAACCUUGGUGGCAUUAAGGUCAGUUCCAUCGAGAUUGAGAGGAUCUGCAACAGGGUGAAUGAUGCCAUUCUUGAAACUGCGGCUAUUGGGGUUCCACCUGUAGGGGGCGGCCCCGAACAGUUGACCAUAGCCGUCGUAUUCAAAGAUCAAAGUCCGCAAGCAGAAGAUUUGAACCAACUGAAACUAAUGUUCAACUCUGCUCUGAAGAAAUUGAAUCCUCUUUUCAAGGUUUCAUCGGUCGUUGUGGUGCCAUCGCUCCCUCGAACCGCCUCAAACAAGGUCAUGAGGAGAGUCCUACGCAAGGAGUUCACCCAGGCAAAGCACUCUAAAAUCUAG
rnacentral:rRNA from 1 species